GUAACACAUGUGGAAUAAGUCAUUAUGGGAUAUUGUGAUGUCAUUAUGGGGUAUUGUGAUGUCAGAUGGGUGAUUUCAGGCUGUAACACAACAACAUGUGGAGUAAGUCCAGCUGUCUAAUAAUCUACAUACAGAGAAGGACCAGGAAAUGUCACAAUGCAGACAGACUGGAAGGGUAAGAGACAUUUUAAUACCAUGUGGACAAGGUCAGGACAAAGGAUGCGUGUCACAAUGCAGACACAUUUUAAUACCAUGUGGACAAGGUCAGGACAAAGGAUGCGUGUCACAAUGCAGACACAUUUUAAUACCAUGUGGACAAGGUCAGGACAAAGGAUGCGUGUCACAAUGCAGACACAUUUUAAUACCAUGUGGACAAGGUCAGGACAAAGGUUGCAUGUCAGCGUGAACACUGAGCAAAAACAUGCAACAAUUUCAAAAGAGUUCAUAUCAGGAAAUGUAAAUAAAUUCAUUAAGUCCUGAUCUAUGGAAUACAGAUGGGUUCGGUUGGUUACAGAAAUCUGUAAAUAAAUUCAUUAAGUCCUGAUCUAUGGAAUACAGAUGGGUUCGGUUGGUUACAGAAAUCUGUAAAUAAAUUCAUUAAGUCCUGAUCUAUGGAAUACAGAUGGGUUCGGUUGGUUACAGAAAUCUGUAAAUAAAUUCAUUAAGUCCUGAUCUAUGGAAUACAGAUGGGUUCGGUUGGUUACAGAAAUCUGUAAAUAAAUUCAUUAAGUCCUGAUCUAUGGAAUACAGAUGGGUUCGGUUGGUUACAGAAAUCUGUAAAUAAAUUCAUUAAGUCCUGAUCUAUGGAAUACAGAUGGGUUCGGUUGGUUACAGAAAUCUGUAAAUAAAUUCAUUAAGUCCUGAUCUAUGGAAUACAGAUGGGUUCGGUUGGUUACAGAAAUCUGUAAAUAAAUUCAUUAAGUCCUGAUCUAUGGAAUACAGAUGGGUUCGGUUGGUUACAGAAAUCU